UCCAGGUGCAGUAGUGUGCGCCUGUAAUCCCAGUCACUCAGGAGGCUGAGGCAGGAUGAUCAAGAGUUCAAAGCCAGACUCAGCAAAAGUGAGGCACUAAGCAACUCAUUGAGACCUUGUCUCUA
rnacentral:sRNA from 1 species